ensembl:lncRNA
AUGAGCUUGUGAUUGGUGCACUGCGAUGGACGAGCAUCCCAUCCGAGGUGAAUUCUCCCACACUGUGUUCAUUGUUCCACAGGAUCCACUGCAGCACAGAAAAGGAUAGAGAUGUUACUGAAGAAAAAUGAAUAAAAGUUUAAAUAUUAUCAAUUUUACUGAGCCGGACAUCUCAGUUGAGGAUUCCUGAAAAAGAGCCAGAUCCGAUGGGGGGAUUGGAAAGACGUCAUCUCUUUAGAAGAACCUACAAGGGAGACUGCUGAUGACAAUGGUGGCAUGUUUGAGCCCAUCAUAUCAGUCCUGUUAACAACUGACGCACACUGUUGUAUAUUCUAGCCUGAUGAUCCAUCUGUCUAAGCACGAAUCUCUACUUGCCUGUCGGACAUCCCGGUCUGGAUGAG